ACCUGCACCCCGACACCCUGGCAGUCCUGGCUUCGCUUCCCUGUGACAUCCCCCAUGGACACCCAGCACCUUCUCCAAGAGCUGCUCAAUCUGAGGCCAUUGUGCUGAGGWCGUGGGCAGGGGGAUCCCAGGAGCACUUGCUGAGUGAGAUCAGCAUCAUCUCAGUCCAGGAUCUGGGAAGAAGGAGACAGACCGCAGGUUCAGCAGUCACCUCUAGGGCUGCUCUGGCCUUCUGGAGGUGACCACCUCCCAGGGUGGAGGAGGACACAGCUAGCUCUGGGGUGCUUCACACAAGAGUUGAAAGCAUGAGAGAUGGGGUCAAGGCCUGCCCUUUGCCUCCCCAGGGAUCACCACGUCUCCCCGAGCGUAGUCUGUCUCCCUGAGACCAGAAUCCCUCCUACCCAGGCACACAUCCGCCUGCACUUGGGCACAUCAGAUUGUGCAGUUUCUACACGUGUCUCCUGCCCCGAGAUGCCCUAGAUUAGGCCUUGUCUUGAGGCUAUGGUGUGCUCU